ACUACGGGGCGCAGCAGUGAGGAAUAUUGGUCAAUGGCCGGAAGGCUGAACCAGCCAAGCCGCGUGAAGGACGAAUGUGCCAAGCAUUGUAAACUUCUUUUGUCAAGGGACAAAAUCAGGCUCGAGAGCCUGACCGAGUGUACUUGAAGAAAAAGCAUCGGCUAACUCCGUGCCAGCAGCCGCGGUAAUACGGGGGAUGCGAUCGUUAUCCGGUUUUAUUGGGUUGAAAGGGUGCGUAGGCGGGCUGUUAAGUCAGCGGUAAAAGCCCGGGGCUCAACCCCGGCGAGCCGUUGAAACUGGCUGGCUUGAGAUGUCGAGAGGUAUGCGGAAUGCGCAGUGUAGCGGGGAAAUGCUUAGAGAUUGCGCAGAACUCCGAUUGCGAAGGCAGCAUACCGGCGGCGAUCUGACGCUGAGGCACGAAAGCGUGGGUAUCGAACAGGAUUAGAUACCCCGGUAGUC
rnacentral:rRNA from 1 species